UCUAAACCACUAACAAUAAUAUUAUUAUAAUAUGCAAAAACAGAAAAACAAAAGAAGCUUUUCGUUUGGUUUCAGAAAAGCAAAAGGGACUGUAAUCAGUAAAUCUAACAAAAAGAAAAAGAAAGCUUCAAGAAAGCAUGGAAUCUGAAACCCAGUUACCAGCUCUCGCCAGUAGAUGCAUAAGAUAUGAUGCAGCAGUAGCAAACGGAGACGACAGAAGCAGUUGCCGAAGACAGUUCUGAUGUUCGAGUGAGGAAAAACAGGCUAUGUAACUAGGAGGUGGAGGAGCUAUGGGUUUGGUGGAGAGUAUAUGGAUGCAGGUGGCUAUCCAUGGUGGUUUGAGAUUGCUCUUUAAGCAGUCUAUAUAGCUGAGUAAUCUAAGCUAUGAAGCAGGUGGUGGAAGGUCUAGGCUUAGGUUCCUAUCAUGAUCAUUUUCUCUAUAAAUAGUUGCACUUCGAAUAGGAAAUUUCAUAGUAAGUAUUCGUUCACUUAAUAGAGAGAAUUUGAGUGAGAACCCUGAAGAAGAAAGAAACAGGUUUAAGUUUGCAGAGGAAGGCUUAAGGGUAAGAUCUUUCUAACUUUUGGGUGUCUUGAGUAAUUCUUUCCAAUUUGAUUUA